rnacentral:rRNA from 1 species
UACGUAGGGUGCGAGCGUUAAUCGGAAUUACUGGGCGUAAAGGGUGCGCAGGCGGUUUUGCAAGUCAGGCGUGAAAGCCCCGGGCUUAACCUGGGAAUGGCGCUUGAAACUACAGGACUGGAGUAUGGCAGAGGGAGGUGGAAUUCCACGUGUAGCGGUGAAAUGCGUAGAGAUGUGGAGGAACACCGAUGGCGAAGGCAGCCUCCUGGGCCAAUACUGACGCUGAGACGCGAAAGCGUGGGGAGCAAACAGG